GACAGAGGGUGCAAACGUUGCUCGGAAUCACUGGGCGUAAAGGGCGUGUAGGCGGGUAGAUAAGUCGGGCGUGAAAUCCCUAGGCUCAACCUAGGAACUGCACUCGAAACUGUUUAUCUUGAGUGCCGGAGAGGAAAGCGGAAUUCCUGGUGUAGAGGUGAAAUUCGUAGAUAUCAGGAGGAACGACCAGUGGCGAAGGGCGCUUUCUGGACGGUAACUGAC
rnacentral:rRNA from 1 species